UACGUAGGGUGCAAGCGUUGUCCGGAAUUAUUGGGCGUAAAGAGCUUGUAGGCGGUUUGUCGCGUCUGCUGUGAAAUUUCGGGGCUCAACCCCGAACUUGCAGUGGGUACGGGCAGACUAGAGUGUGGUAGGGGAGACUGGAAUUCCUGGUGUAGCGGUGAAAUGCGCAGAUAUCGGGAGGAACACCUAUGGCGAAGGCAGCUCGCUGGGACGUUACUGACGCUGAGACGCGAAAGCGCGGGGAGCAAACAGG
rnacentral:rRNA from 1 species